UUCCGGUUGAUCCUGCCGGAGGCUACCGCUAUUGGAGUUCGAUUAAGCCAUGCGAGUCGCGAGUCUUAGGGACUCGGCGUACCGCUCAGUAACACGUGGGUAACCUGCCCUAUGCUGGGGGAUAACCUCGGGAAACUGAGAAUAAUACCCCAUAGUUCACCACGCCUGGAACGGUGGGUGGAUGAAAGCUCCGGCGGCAUAGGAUGGGCCUGCGGCGUAUCAGGUUGUAGGGGGUGUAAUGUACCCUCUAGCCAUCUACGCGUACGGGUGUUGGGAGACAUCGCCCGGAGAUGGAUUCUGAGACACGAAUCCAGACCCUACGGGGUGCAGCAGGCGCGAAAACUUGGCAAUGCGAGAAAUCGUGACCAGGGAACUCCAAGUGGCUGGGGUAAGACCCAGUCUUUUCUUGACUCUUCAAAGGUCUUGGAAUAAGAGGUGGGUAAGGACGGUGCCAGCCGCCGCGGUAAUACCGGCGCCUCAAGUGGUAGUCGAUUUUAUUGGGCCUAAAACGUCCGUAGCCUGUUUGGUACAUUCGUGGGUAAAUCAACCAGCUCAACUGGUUGAAUUCUGCGAGCACGGCCAGACUUGGGACCGGGAGAGGUGUGGGGUACGCUCAGGGUAGGGGUAAAAUCCUGUCAUCCUGAGCGGACCACCUGUUGCGAAGGCGCCACACUAGAACGGAUCCGACGGUCAGGGACGAAGCCUAGGGGCACGAACCGGAUUAGAUACCCGGGUAGUCCUAGGUGUAAACGCUGUGGACUUGGUGUUGGGGAUGAUCCGAUCAUUCUCAGUGCCGAAGCGAAGGUGAUAAGUCCACUGCCUGGGGAGUACGGUCGCAAGGCUGAAACUUAAAGGAAUUGGCGGGGGAGCACCGCAACCUGAGGAUUGUGCGGUUUAAUUGGAGUCAACGCCGG
rnacentral:rRNA from 1 species